rnacentral:rRNA from 1 species
AUUGAACGCUGGCGGCAGGCUUAACACAUGCAAGUCGAGCGGAGAUGAGGUGCUUGCACCUUAUCUUAGCGGCGGACGGGUGAGUAAUGCUUAGGGAUCUGCCUAUUAGUGGGGGACAACAUUCCGAAAGGAAUGCUAAUACCGCAUACGUCCUACGGGAGAAAGCAGGGGAUCUUCGGACCUUGCGCUAAUAGAUGAGCCUAAGUCGGAUUAGCUAGUUGGUGGGGUAAAGGCUUACCAAGGCGACGAUCUGUAGCGGGUCUGAGAGGAUGGACGGCCACACUGGGACUGAGACACGGCCCAGACGCCUACGGGAGGCAGCAGUGGGGAAUAUUGGACAAUGGGGGAAACCCUGGUCCAGCCAUGCCGCGUGUGUGAAGAAGGCCUUAUGGUUGUAAAGCACUUUAAGCGAGGAGGAGGCUACUGAGACUAAUACUCUUGGAUAGUGGACGUUACUCGCAGAAUAAGCACCGGCUAACUCUGUGCCAGCAGCCGCCGUAAAAC